rnacentral:rRNA from 1 species
UGAGGAAUAUUGGUCAAUGGGGGCAACCCUGAACCAGCCAAGUCGCGUGAAGGAUGAAGGUCUUAUGGAUUGUAAACUUCUUUUACACGGGAAUAAAGUGGGGGACGUGUCCCCCUUUGCAUGUACCGUGUGAAUAAGGAUCGGCUAACUCCGUGCCAGCAGCCGCGGUAAUACGGAGGAUCCGAGCGUUAUCCGGAUUUAUUGGGUUUAAAGGGUGCGCAGGCGGGAUGUUAAGUCGGCGGUGAAAUUUUGCAGCUCAACUGUAAAAGUGCCUUCGAUACUGGCCUCCUUGAGUGUGGAUGAAGUAGGCGGAAUUUGUGGUGUAGCGGUGAAAUGCUUAGAUAUCACGAGGAACUCCGAUUGCGCAGGCAGCUUACUAAGCCACAACUGACGCUCAUGCACGAAGGCGUGGGGAUCGAACA